UACGGGGGGUGCGAGCGUUGUCCGGAAUCACUGGGCGUAAAGGGCGCGUAGGUGGUCAGGUAAGUCAGGUGUGAAAGCUCUGGGCUUAACCCAGGAAUUGCAUCUGAUACUGCUUGGCUUGAGUACGGUAGAGGAGGGUGGAAUUCCCAGUGUAGCGGUGAAAUGCGUAGAUAUUGGGAGGAACACCGGUGGCGAAGGCGGCCCUCUGGACCGAAACUGACACUGAAGCGCGAAAGCUAGGGGAGCAAACGGG
rnacentral:rRNA from 1 species